GUGGGGAAUAUUGGACAAUGGGGGGAACCCUGAUCCAGCCAUGCCGCGUGUGUGAAGAAGGCCUUUUGGUUGUAAAGCACUUUAAGCGAGGAGGAGGCUACCGAGAUUAAUACUCUUGGAUAGUGGACGUUACUCGCAGAAUAAGCACCGGCUAACUCUGUGCCAGCAGCCGCGGUAAUACAGAGGGUGCAAGCGUUAAUCGGAUUUACUGGGCGUAAAGCGCGCGUAGGUGGCCAAUUAAGUCAAAUGUGAAAUCCCCGAGCUUAACGUGGGAAUUGCAUUCGAUACUGGUUGGCUAGAGUAUGGGAGAGGAUGGUAGAAUUCCAGGUGUAGCGGUGAAAUGCGUAGAGAUCUGGAGGAAUACCGAUGGCGAAGGCAGCCAUCUGGCCUAAUACUGACACUGAGGUGCGAAAGCAUGGGGAGCAAACAGGAUUAGAAACCCCGGUAGUCC
rnacentral:rRNA from 1 species